GCAGUAAGGAAUAUUGGUCAAUGGAGGCAACUCUGAACCAGCCAUGCCGCGUGCAGGAAGACUGCCCUAUGGGUUGUAAACUGCUUUUAUCCGGGAAUAAACCUUUCUACGUGUAGGAAGCUGAAUGUACCGGAAGAAUAAGGAUCGGCUAACUCCGUGCCAGCAGCCGCGGUAAUACGGAGGAUCCAAGCGUUAUCCGGAUUUAUUGGGUUUAAAGGGUGCGUAGGCGGCCUGUUAAGUCAGGGGUGAAAGACGGUAGCUCAACUAUCGCAGUGCCCUUGAUACUGAUGGGCUUGAAUGGACUAGAGGUAGGCGGAAUGAGACAAGUAGCGGUGAAAUGCAUAGAUAUGUCUCAGAACACCGAUUGCGAAGGCAGCUUACUAUGGUCUUAUUGACGCUGAGGCACGAAAGCGUGGGGAUCAAACAGGAUUAGA
rnacentral:rRNA from 1 species